GGUUUCGUAGUGUAGUGGUUAUCACGUCCGCUUUACACGCGGAAGGUCCCCGGUUCAAGCCCGGGCGGAACCA